GCAAGUCGAGCGGGCGAGGUUGCUUCGGUAACUGAGCUAGCGGCGGACGGGUGAGUAAUGCUUAGGAAUCUGCCUAUUAGUGGGGGACAACAUUCCGAAAGGAAUGCUAAUACCGCAUACGCCCUACGGGGGAAAGCAGGGGAUCUUCGGACCUUGCGCUAAUAGAUGAGCCUAAGUCAGAUUAGCUAGUUGGUGGGGUAAAGGCCUACCAAGGCGACGAUCUGUAGCGGGUCUGAGAGGAUGAUCCGCCACACUGGGACUGAGACACGGCCCAGACUCCUACGGGAGGCAGCAGUGGGGAAUAUUGGACAAUGGGCGCAAGCCUGAUCCAGCCAUGCCGCGUGUGUGAAGAAGGCCUUUUGGUUGUAAAGCACUUUAAGCGAGGAGGAGGCUACUUGGAUUAAUACUCUAGGAUAGUGGACGUUACUCGCAGAAUAAGCACCGGCUAACUCUGUGCCAGCAGCCGCGGUAAUACAGAGGGUGCGAGCGUUAAUCGGAUUUACUGGGCGUAAAGCGUGCGUAGGCGGCUUUUUAAGUCGGAUGUGAAAUCCCUGAGCUUAACUUAGGAAUUGCAUUCGAUACUGGGAAGCUAGAGUAUGGGAGAGGAUGGUAGAAUUCCAGGUGUAGCGGUGAAAUGCGUAGAGAUCUGGAGGAUACCGAUGGCGAAGGC
rnacentral:rRNA from 1 species